rnacentral:rRNA from 1 species
CGCGUAGGUGGCCUGAUAAGUACGGGGUGAAACCCUGCAGCUUAACUGCAGGACGGCCUCGUAGACUGUCCGGCUUGAGCAUGGUAGAGGCUGGUGGAAUUCCCGGUGUAGCGGUGGAAUGCGUAGAGAUCGGGAAGAACAUCGGUGGCGAAGGCGGCCAGCUGGGCCAUUGCUGACACUGAGGCGCGACAGCGUGGGGAGCAAACAGGAUUAGAUACCCUGGUAGUCCACGCCGUAAACGAUGGGUACUAGGCGUCGGGGGGAGCGACCCCUUCGGUGCCGUCGCUAACGCAGUAAGUACCCCGCCUGGGGAGUACGGCCGCAAGGCUGAA